GAUGAACGCUGGCGGCGUGCCUAAUACAUGCAAGUCGAACGAAAAGAGGAGCUUGCUUCUCUUUUAGUGGCGAACGGGUGAGUAACGCGUGGGAACGUGCCCUUUGCUACGGAAUAGCGCCGGGAAACUGGGAGUAAUACCGUAUGUGCCCUUCGGGGGAAAGAUUGAUCGGCAAAGGAUCGGCCCGCGUGGGAUUAGGUGGUUGGUGGGGUAAUGGCCUACCAAGCCGACGAUCCAUAGCUGGUUUGAGAGGAUGAUCAGCCACACUGGGACUGAGACACGGCCCAGACUCCUACGGGAGGCAGCAGUGGGGAAUCUUAGACAAUGGGGGAAACCCUGAUCUAGCCAUGCCGCGUGAUCGAUGAAGGCCUUAGGGUUGUAAAGAUCUUUCAGUGGGGAAGAUAAUGACUGUACCCACAGAAGAAGCCCCGGCUAACUCCGUGCCAGCAGCCGCAGUAAAAC
rnacentral:rRNA from 1 species